GAUGAAGAACGUAGCGAAAUGCGAUACGUAAUGUGAAUUGCAGAAUUCAGUGAAUCAUCGAAUCUUUGAACGCAUAUUGCGCUCUCUGGUAUUCCGGAGAGCAUGCUUGUUUGAGUAUCAGUAAACACCUCAACUUCCAUAUCUUUUUUGAAAUGGGAGUUGGACUUGAGUGAUCCCAACGCUUUUCCUCACCGAAAAGUGGCGGGUUACUUGAAAUGCAGGUGCAGCUGGACUUUUCUCUGAGCUAUAAGCAUAUCUAUUUAGUCUGCCUAAAAAACAGAUUAUUACCCUUGCUGCAGCUAACAUAAAGGAGAUUAGUUCUUGUGCUGACUGAUGCAGGAUUCACAAAGACAGGCUUCGGCCGACUUUGUAAACUCGAUCUCAAAUCAAGUAAGACUACCCGCUGAACUUAAGCAUAUCAAUAAGCGGAGGA
rnacentral:misc_RNA from 1 species